CUUAGGUUCUUUCCACUGCUGAGAUUCUAGACCAACUGGACACUGCUGGGAUUGCAACAGCUGGUGGAAACCAUAACUUGGACUGAGGAGAAAAACUUCGUGAAACUCCCCU
rnacentral:lncRNA from 1 species